UUAAUGCUAAUCGUGAUAGGGGUUUUUACCUCGGACUGACUCCUACAUGUUAGCAUUAACAG
rnacentral:pre_miRNA from 1 species